rfam:Mesocricetus auratus contig114130, whole genome shotgun sequence.
GGAUGUGGGAGCUUUUUGCUCGUUUACAAAAUCGCAUCGGAAAGUUCCAACUAACCCUAUAAAGACCCCUUUACCCCCUUCACCGCUCCACGCGAGUCCCUCCCGAAGCUGCGUGCUCGCUCAGAUGAAGAUGGCCUCCCCCGAAUAGAGGAGGCCCAGUCUUCUCUCAAGGGUACACGAGUAGCUGCGCUCGCUCCCCUGCUAGAACCUCCACACAGGCUCUCACGACCAUUUCACCAGAAAGACAUCUUCCUGUGAUGUGGGGAUUCUCUUUGUAUCUCUG